ACUGCAAUUCAUCUUCCACACUCUACUUGGCCUUCGCAGCGGCGGCGGCGGCGAAGUCCAGCUAAACCCCACAACGCAAACAACUCGACUCAUGUCAACAACGGCGGAACACGGCGGCGCUCAGAACACCGCCGUAACCCAUAUCCAAGGCAGAGGUCGAGCAGUAAUCGCAUCAAAGCCCCUAAAAGCCGGCGAAAUCGUCCUCAAAGACUCCCCCGUCCUCCUCUACUCUGCCCUCCCACUAAACCCCCGCCGCGGCGGCGCCGUUUACUGCUCCCACUGCUUCAAAACCCUGCCGAACCCUGACCCUCCCUCCGCCCUCCCUUGCCCUCUCUGCUCCUCCUCCGCCCUCUUCUGCAGCCCCGCAUGCCUAUCCACCGCUCUCCAAUCCUCCCACACCCCCUGGGCCUGCCAAACCCUAACCCGCCUCCGAAACUCCCCUCCCUUGCGCACCGAAGAGCUCCAGGUCCAGGCCCGGUUCCUCGUGGCCGCGUACAAUCUCUCCAGGGUAUCCCCUCCCGAUUUCCAAAGAGUCUUGGGCCUUGAUGGUGGGUGGUCCGGUUGCCGGCCGGACGCCGACGCCGUCUUCCUCCACUCUCUCAUCACUUCCCUCUGUGACGGCGAGCAAGUGAUGAGUUUUUUUACAAUGGAGGUGACGGCGGCGUUGCUGGCGAAGGACAGGGCGAACGCAUUCGGUUUGAUGGAGCCGUUUGGGGAUAAAGGGGAGAGGUCCGUUAGGGCUUACGGCAUAUACCCGAAUGCUUCGUUUUUUAACCAUGAUUGUUUACCGAAUGCUUGUAGGUUUGAUUAUGUGGAUUGUAAUACUUCUGCUGCUGCUGCUAAUGGAAGUAUUUGUAACACGGAUGUAGUUGUGAGGGUGAUUCACGAUGUUCCUCAAGGGAGGGAGAUAUGUUUGAGUUAUUUUCCGGUGAAUCUCAAGUAUUCGGAGAGGCAGCGGAGAUUGAAGGAAGAUUAUGGUUUUACUUGCACUUGUGAUCGGUGUAAUGUGGAGGCGAACUGGUCGGAUAACGAGGAGGAGGAGGAGGAGGAGGCGGAGGCGAUGGAGGAGGAUAAUGAUGAACUUAUGGUGGAUGAGGAUGAUGGGGUUAAAGAAGGAGAAGGAGAGGAGAGUGACUUUCCCCACGCGUAUUUCUUCUUGAGGUACAUGUGCAAUAGAGAGAACUGUUGGGGCACAUUGGCACCUCUGCCUCCAUCGAAUGGCACUCCGUCGAGUGUGAUGGAAUGUAAUGUAUGUGGGAACUUCAAGAAGAAUGACGACGAAGGAGGAAUGGACAGUGACGAUGCAUUAGAGGAGGAAUGAGUAGUUUAGUGGUGACACCUAGGUAAGUUAUUUUUAGCUCUCUUCCCCAAGUGAAAGCGCGAAGGAAACACCCUACACCAUGUGAUGUUCGCACUCAGGCGAUGAGCUUUAGGGAGAUGGUUCGGAUGUUCUUCUUGUAGUCUUCUGGUGGUAUUUUGUGCUGCUUUUCUUCGAUCUUGGUCGUUGGUGGAGUUGGCUUGAUUGCGAGUAUCUGUGAAGAUUAAAAUGGAUAGCUACAUGAUAGAACAUCUCUUGAUUUUGUAUUCUAUACUAGUUGUUCUUUUGUUGAAAUUACAAGUUUGCGAUGUACUAUUGUUCUUAGGAAAAUUUGCUUGUCAAAAUGGAUUGCUACCGGAUGGAUGUCUUGAUUUUGCAUUAUGUUCUUUUUGUGGUGAAAUUAGGAGUUUGAAAUGUAUUCUUCUUA